rnacentral:lncRNA from 10 species
CUUUUCUCUGUUGCUCAGACCGGGUAACUUUUCUUAUUCUAUCUUCCAGUUUCCUGAUCUUUUACUCUAUCUCCUCCAUUAAGCUGUUGAGUCCAAACACUAAACUUUCGCAUUGAUUAUUAAUUUUUAAAUAUUCAAAUUUCCCCUUUGUUCUUUAUAUCUCUUUGCUGGCACUUUCUAUUUGUAAGUGCUCCUUGAAACAUUUUACAAUGGCUGCCUCACAACGUUUGUAGGUAAUUCUAUAUCUGUUAUCACAUAUUUAUAAUUGCUGACUGUCCUUUUCAUUCAGCUUAUAUGUUUGUUUAUUUUGACACAGAGUCUCACUCUGUCACCCAGGCUGGAGUUGCAGUGGUGCGAUUACGGCUGACUGGCUGACUGGCUGACUGGCUGACUGGCUGACUGCAACCUGCACCUUCUCCUCCACCUCCUAGGUUG